rnacentral:rRNA from 1 species
GACGAACGCUGGCGGCGUGCUUAACACAUGCAAGUCGAACGAAGUGGCGAACGGGUGAGUAAUGCGUAAUCAACCUGCCCUUGAGAGGGGGACAACAGGUGGAAACGACUGCUAAUACCGCAUACUGAAGGAGGGGAUUGCGGCGGAUUAGCUAGUGGGAGGGGGAACGGCCCACCAAGGCGAUGAGCAGUAGCCGGUCGGAGAGGAUGAACGGCCACAAUGGGACUGAGACACGGCCCAUACUGCUACGGGAGGCAGCAGGGGGGAAUCGUCCGCAAUGGACGAAAGUCUGACGGAGCAACGCCGCGUGAGUGAUGACGGCCUUCGGGUUGUAAAGCUCUGUUAAGCGGGACGCGGUACCGGAAGAGAAAGCCACGGCUAACUACGUGCCAGCAGCCGCGGUAAUUC